ensembl:snRNA RNU6-1117P RNA, U6 small nuclear 1117, pseudogene
GUGCUUGCUUCAGCAGCAUAUAUACUAAAAUUGGAAUAAUAUAGAGAUUAGCAUGGCCCCUGUGCAAGGAUGACAUGCAAAUUCAUGAAGCGUUCCAUAUUUUU